AGUGAACGCUGGCGGUAGGCCUAACACAUGCAAGUCGAACGGCAGCACAGUAAGAGCUUCCUCUUACGGGUGGCGAGUGGCGGACGGGUGAGGAAUACAUCGGAAUCUACUUUUUCGUGGGGGAUAACGUAGGGAAACUUACGCUAAUACCGCAUACGACCUACGGGUGAAAGCAGGGGAUCUUCGGACCUUGCGCGAUUGAAUGAGCCGAUGUCGGAUUAGCUAGUUGGCGGGGUAAAGGCCCACCAAGGCGACGAUCCGUAGCUGGUCUGAGAGGAUGAUCAGCCACACUGGAACUGAGACACGGUCCAGACUCCUACGGGAGGCAGCAGUGGGGAAUAUUGGACAAAGGGCGCAAGCCUGAUCCAGCCAUACCGCGUGGGUGAAGAAGGCCUUCGGGUUGUAAAGCCCUUUUGUUGGGAAAGAAAAGCAGCAGGUUAAUACCCCGCUGUUCUGACGGUACCCAAAGAAUAAGCACCGGCUAACUUCGUG
rnacentral:rRNA from 1 species